GUGGACGUUACUCGCAGAAUAAGCACCGGCUAACUCUGUGCCAGCAGCCGCGGUAAUACAGAGGGUGCGAGCGUUAAUCGGAUUUACUGGGCGUAAAGCGUGCGUAGGCGGCCAUUUAAGUCAAAUGUGAAAUCCCCGAGCUUAACUUGGGAAUUGCAUUCGAUACUGGAUGGCUAGAGUAUGGGAGAGGAUGGUAGAAU
rnacentral:rRNA from 1 species